UUUCAAUGAAUUCCCUCUCUUGGGAAGGCCCAGCAGAAAAAGUCUGUUUCUGCCACGUUGGUGUACUUUCCUGGGGCCACGAGGAAAAUCAUUCUAACCAAGCCUCUGAGUACCUGGGCAAUAAUGUGAGGCACAUUUCCCUGGCUGGAGUGUCACCAUAGCAACCAUAGAGACAGCGGGAUGCUCAGCCUGGGCAUGUGUUUCUUCUACAAGGAAGUCAUGAGCCCAAUGUACUGUUGCCUAGACAGGAAAGCUUUCCUCUGGGGGCUGUGGGGAGGAUUCUGUUGCGGUUCUUCCUUUUGCUUAGGCAUGUGGUAGCCCUGAAUUUGAAUCUUCAUCUCAGCUCUCCCCAAGCCAUUCCAGCCACCGUUGAAGCCUUUACUCUCCACAAAACCAGCCUUGAAGACAACAGGUUCCUAAAAGGAUUCCCAGUGUGCUUAGGCAUCCAGCCAUCUGCCUUACAAGGGUAUUGUUGGAGGGACUGUCUGUCUUCCCGUGCUUGGAGCAGAGGCAGGGGGCGGGGGUUAAGACAUCAAAUGGAAAGGUUUCAUGUGUAGGGUUUAGAGCUCAUGAAAUGGUGAUAAUAGAGGAAGAUGGGAGGAAAGAAGAACGCAGGCAUAAACAAGUUUUUCCACUGCUUGCUAAAUCAAUUCUUCUUUGGCCACCUUGACUCCAGUCCUUACCCUAAGAACUGACUUAGCUAGAGAGGCAUUCCCUCUCAGGAUGUGAAAACCUCCAGCCUGGACUGUAAGGUGCCUUCAAGUCCAUGGCGUAUUCGGACGGAAGAGCCUUACUUCAUCGUAAUUGCAGAUUUCCAGAAAAAUGAAGUAAAAUCAUCUAUAGAAGCAGGCAUCAUCCGGGCCAAUUCUGUGCAUGUGACUGAACAAAUUGCCUUUCAUGUCUGUUGUACAUUUUGCUAUGAUUUUACUUUUCUGAGACAUUCGUUUUCUCCUGUCUUGAACAUG
rnacentral:lncRNA from 1 species